rnacentral:lncRNA from 10 species
CAGCAGGGUAGGUAGGGAAAGAGCCCCAGAUUUGUGGCUGGAGGUCUUGGUAGGGAUGUUGCAGGGAGCUGUUGUGUUUCAGGGAGAGUACAGAGAAGGGAGAGAUGAAGUGAGUGAUCCGAUAAAGUGAUAUGUGAAGUCAUUGGCUUGCUGCCAAGCUGCGCACAGGGCUGACCCUAGAUGCACAUUGCAGGUCCCAGACUGACCGGUGUAGAUACAGGACUAAUAUGACUAGUAGUGCAAACACUUUAAACAGUCAACAUUCUGCUUAGGAUUUAAACAAGGUCCAGAGUCUCA